UGUGCCAGCUUUGCUUGACUAAUAAUGGGUUUUUCUCUGUCCAUAGGGAAAGCACAUGACAAGAGCAUGAGCUACACUUCACUUCACUUUUUUUGAGGUUAAUAAGUUGCUUGAUCCAAAGCUAUAUUACAGAAGAACUUCCUGACUCUGAUGAAAGCUCUUGGAAAAUCCUCAAAUAAUAUUUUAUGCAGAAAUAUAACCAAAAAGGAAGGCAAAUUCAUAUAUAGGAAAAUAACCAGUGCCCUCCUCACGUUACAUGAGGUCUACUAGUAUCACCCGACACCAGCUGUUAGUCUGGGCCCUGAUGUGUGGCGCAAUGUUAGGGGUUCAAGAGACGUUAUUCUUCUUGACAAAAUAGGUGUUCAGAAGAGCCAGUAGCCCUGUAUGUCUCAGUUAGUUGAAACUCAUAUUAUUGAGUCCCCACAGGGACCUCCAUAACCUUGGUUCAGGAGACACCUUGGAAACCUGGGAAAGGUGAUUGACUGAAGUCCAUCUGUUGAAUCAUCCUCAUUAUUAAAAGCCUCCUACUCAUUAACGGCAUUUCGAUUAAUAUUCACUUGGAAAGCAUGUUUUUAUUUUGGCUCAUUUUUGAAACGUCUAGUCAUAGUUCUUUCUGAAUCACUUUGUCUGAAAUCAUCCUGUUGCAUUUCUUUUAAGGGCUGAUGAUCUGUCAAAAGCAACAGCCAAUAUUAUUACAUUGCUGUUCUCUUUGCAAUGUUAUCAUCAGAUGUAAUCCUUGCAGGUUAACCACUGUUACGAAUUUUACAUUUCCAGGGAUUUCUUGACAAUGGCACUGAUGUGACGCCAUCCAGCAUCUAUUUGUGAGAACUCUAUUUGACAAAUCAUCACUGUGGGUGUGAACAUAAUGGAGACUUUCAUAGGAUGCUAUGGUUAAUAUUCAACUUUAGUCAAAAUUUACUCUAGUCCUACCCUUGGAGCUCUACUGGGUUCGAAAAAUAUUUUAGAUAAGGACAAUCAUUUCAUAGAGUUUUAAAAAUAAAGGCUAAAAGAAAUUUUCUGUAGCAACAGUAUGAACUAUAUGUAGCCAGCAUACCCUUUUUUAAUGGAAUAUAACAAAAAUUAUUUAAAUGUAUUUAAUUUAAAUAAUUGUAUAAAUAU
rnacentral:lncRNA from 1 species